GCCGUCGUGGCGCAAUGGCAGCGCAUCACCUUCCUAUACGCACAUGGAAUAAGGCAGGUGGGGGUUGCGGGUUCGACCCCCGUCGACGGUA